GUUUCAGCCGCCGCGGUAAGACAGAGGGGGCAAGCGUUGCUCGGAAUCACUGGGCGUAAAGGGCGCGUAGGCGGGAGGGCAAGUCGGUCGUGAAAUCCUCCGGCUCAACCGGAGAACGUCGGCCGAUACUGCCUUUCUUGAGGGAUGCAGAGGAGACUGGAAUUCCCGGUGUAGCGGUGAAAUGUGUAGAGAUCGGGAGGAACACCGGUGGCGAAGGCGGGUCUCUGGGCAUCUCCUGACGCUGAGGCGCGAAAGCGUGGGGAGCAAACGGGAUUAGAUACCCCUGUAGUCC
rnacentral:rRNA from 1 species